rnacentral:rRNA from 1 species
CUACGGGAGGCUGCAGUGGGGGAUAUUGCACAAUGGGCGAAAGCCUGAUGCAGCAACGCCGCGUGAAGGAAGACGGUUUUCGGAUUGUAAACUUCUAUCAGCAGGGAAGAAAAUGACUGUACCUGACUAAGAAGCCCCGGCUAACUACGUGCCAGCAGCCGCGGUAAUACGUAGGGGGCAAGCGUUAUCCGGAUUUACUGGGUGUAAAGGGUACGUAGGCGGUUUAUUAAGUCAGAUGUGAAAGCCCGGGGCUCAACCCCGGGACUGCAUUAGAAACUGGUGAACUAGAGUACAGGAGAGGUAAGUGGAAUUCCUAGUGUAGCGGUGAGAUGCGUAGAUAUUAGGAAGAACACCAGUGGCGAAGGCGGCUUACUGGACUGUAACUGACGCUGAGGUACGAAAGCGUGGGGAGCGAACAGGAUUAGAUACCCUAGUAGUC